UCGGGAACCUCCCCUGCUGAGGGUGGUGUCAGGGUUCCGUGACUCCAGUGGGCCAGUGGUAGCCUGUCCCAGACAACUCCGUCACCCCAGCUCUGCCUGUGCCUUUAUCCCUGACAGCUGCUGCACUAGCCUUCCUGCUUCCCUAAGGACUUAGUGGAGGGGGAAAGUUGUUUUUGGUACUACUUGGUGGGAAGUAAGGGGAAGGUUGGAUCUUGGGUUUGGUCUACCCACCCAAGAGAAAAGACUGUUAACUGGAAGAAAAAAUAUAUAUAUAAAAUUUU
rnacentral:lncRNA from 1 species